GACGAACGCUGGCGGCGUGCCUAAUACAUGCAAGUCGAACGCAUUUUCUUUCACCGUAGCUUGCUACACCGAAAGAAAAUGAGUGGCGGACGGGUGAGUAACACGUUGGUAACCUGCCCAUCAGCGGGGGAUAACACUUGGAAACAGGUGCUAAUACCGCAUAAUUCCAUUUACUGCAUGGUAGAUGGAUGAAAGGCGCUUUUGCGUCACUGAUGGAUGGACCCGCGGUGCAUUAGCUAGUUGGUGGGGUAACGGCCUACCAAGGCUGCGAUGCAUAGCCGACCUGAGAGGGUGAUCGGCCACACUGGGACUGAGACACGGCCCAGACUCCUACGGGAGGCAGCAGUAGGGAAUCUUCGGCAAUGGACGCAAGUCUGACCGAGCAACGCCGCGUGAGUGAAGAAGGUUUUCGGAUCGUAAAACUCUGUUGUUAGAAAAGAACAAGGAUGAGAGUGGAAAGUUCAUCCCUUGACGGUAUCUAACCAGAAAGCCACGGCUAACUACGUG
rnacentral:rRNA from 1 species